rnacentral:tRNA from 1 species
GCCAUGGUGGUAUAGCGGUCAGAACACUAGCCUUGUAAGCUUGGGGUCCCUGGUUCAAUUCCCGGUGGUG